rnacentral:sRNA from 1 species
CGGUGGAGACCUGUUGGGGGCAGAUGAAGUGCACGUGGCAGUCGAUGCCGCCGGCGGUGAGGAUCUUGCCGUUGCCGGCGAUGAUCUCGGUGGAGGGCCCGAUCACCAGGUCGGGGUCGACGUGGGGGUCCACGUCCGGGUUGCCGGCUUUGCCGAUGCCGGUGAUCCGGCCGUCGCGGAUGCCGAUGUCGGCUUUGACGACGCCCCAGUGGUCCAGGACCACCGCGCCGGUGAUGACCACGUCCGGGGCGCCUUCGGCGCGGGUGGCCACCGACUGGCCCAUGGAUUCGCGCACG